GCUGCUGCUGUUGCUGUUGGGCGGCCAACUGUUGAGCCAUUGUCAAGUCCCGCCUCGGUAUUUCCGGCGGUGACUGAAGCACCUCCAUGUAUUCACGGAUCAGAUUCGCUAUCUGAUGAGCCUGAGGAAUAAAAUCAUGAAAAGAUGUUCUGAAUAUCGACAUAUGACUGACUGCUUGGAUCACUUUACCUGCGACGUCGUAAGGAUGACCUUGCUCUGCUUCUUAUCCGUACCGGUAAUGAUCAUCAAGCAAUUAACGGCGGGUGUAUAACUUAGAAUACUGUUAUAUU